UGCUUAACACAUGCAAGUCGAACGGGCAUUUAAGCUUCGGUUUAAAUGUUAGUGGCGGACGGGUGAGUAACGCGUGGGCAACCUGCCUUUACCAGGGGGAUAACUGUGAGAAAUCAUAGCUAAUACCGCAUAAGACCACGAAGGGGCAUCCCUUUGAGGUAAAAGAUUUAUCGGGUAAAGAUGGGCUCGCGUCCUAUUAGCUAGUUGGUGGGGUAACGGCCUACCAAGGCGACGAUAGGUAGCCGACUUGAGAGGGUGAUCGGCCACAUUGGAACUGAGACACGGUCCAAACUCC
rnacentral:rRNA from 1 species